AUUCGCCUCGGUUUGGCCGUUUUCGGCCGAAUUCGGCCACACUUGCAUCGAUCCUUGCGAUUAAACAACUCUAGGGCCCUCGGGGGGCCAAAAAAUUACGGAAAACCGAAGCUUACCGGCGGCGGUGCUCUCGGGUGCGGCGGCUCUCCGGUGAAGUUCGUGUUUUGGUGAUUCGGCUCCGAUCAACCUAUAGAGAAAAGAAUGGUGAUCACGGUGAUAUAAAAAUUGCAUUAAACGGAGGCCGGGAAGGGCCUCAU
rnacentral:lncRNA from 1 species